GGCCGGGCCCGAUGCACGGGUGGACCGUGAACCUGGUCAGGUCCGGAAGGAAGCAGCCAUAAGCGUGCUUCAUCCGGUGCCGUCGGUCGCCCGGCCUUG
rnacentral:SRP_RNA from 1 species